ACGCUCGACACCUACGGGAAGCAGCAGUGGGGAAUAUUGCACAAUGGGGGAAACCCUGAUGCAGCAACGCCGCGUGAAGGAAGAAGUAUUUCGGUAUGUAAACUUCUAUCAGCAGGGAAGAAAAAGAUGACGGUACCUGACUAAGAAGAACCGGCUAAAUACGUGCUAGCAGCCGCGGUAAUCUGAGCGGGCUGGCAAGGC
rnacentral:rRNA from 1 species